AAAUCAAAAAAUAAAAAAAUCAACAAGAGCAAUUGAUUCCAGAAAUCCAUCUUCGAUUUUUACAGAGCCAGAAAUUCAUCUUCGAUUUUUACAGAGCCAGAAAUCAACAGAGCAAUUGAUUCCCUUCACCUCGUCUAUGUUCUUCGAUUUUUCACAGAGCCGGAGGAGGAGGAAGAGGCGGCGAAGAUCCAACGGAAGUGGAGGAGAUGCUGCAGAUCCGGAGGCGAGCGAACUGGAGUAGCCCUAAUUUUCGUCAUGGUCUCUCUCCCCCCUGCUCUGUCAAGCAACCUAAUUUCUGAAGAUUAAAG
rnacentral:lncRNA from 1 species